CAGAGUUCGUGCCCUCACGGGUAGAUCUCCCACCCUGUGUUAUUAUACCUUUGUUGCUUUGGCGGGCCGCCCUCGGCUACCGGCCCCGGCUGGUACGCGCCCGCCAGAGGACCCCAAACUCUGAAUUAAAGUAUUGUCUGAGUACUAUAUAAUAGUUA
rnacentral:misc_RNA from 1 species